AGAGUUUGAUCCUGGCUCAGGAUGAACGCUAGCGGCAGGCUUAACACAUGCAAGUCGAGGGGCAUCGGGAGGGAAGCUUGCUUUCCUUGCCGGCGACCGGCGCACGGGUGAGUAACACGUAUGCAACCUGCCCUCUUCAGGGGGACAACCUUCCGAAAGGGAGGCUAAUCCCGCGUAUAUCGGUUUCGGGCAUCCGAGAUCGAGGAAAGAUUCAUCGGAAGAGGAUGGGCAUGCGGCGCAUUAGCUUGACGGCGGGGUAACGGCCCACCGUGGCGACGAUGCGUAGGGGUUCUGAGAGGAAGGUCCCCCACACUGGUACUGAGACACGGACCAGACUCCUACGGGAGGCAGCAGUGAGGAAUAUUGGUCAAUGGGAGAGAUCCUGAACCAGCCAAGCCGCGUGAGGGAAGACGGCCCUAUGGGUUGUAAACCUCUUUUGUCGGAGAACAAAACCCGGGACGUGUCCCGGACUGCGUGUAUCCGAAGAAAAAGCAUCGGCUAACUCCGUGCCAGCAGCCGCGGUAAUACGGAGGAUGCGAGCGUUAUCCGGAUUUAUUGGGUUUAAAGGGUGCGUAGGCGGUCCGUUAAGUCAGCGGUAAAAUUGCGGGGCUCAACCCCGUCGAGCCGUUGAAACUGGCAGACUUGAGUUGGCGAGAAGUACGCGGAAUGCGCGGUGUAGCGGUGAAAUGCAUAGAUAUCGCGCAGAACUCCGAUUGCGAAGGCAGCGUACCGGCGCCAGACUGACGCUGAGGCACGAAAGCGUGGGUAGCAAACAGGAUUAGAUACCCUGGUAGUCCACGCCGUAAACGAUGAAUGCUAAGUGUUGGAGGGUUUCCGCCCUUCAGUGCUGCAGCUAACGCAAUAAGCAUUCCGCCUGGGGAGUACGACCGCAAGGUUGAAACUCAAAGGAAUUGACGGGGGCCCGCACAAGCGGUGGAGCAUGUGGUUUAAUUCGAAGCAACGCGAAGAACCUUACCAGGUCUUGACAUCUUCUGACAAUCCUAGAGAUAGGACUUUCCCUUCGGGGACAGAAUGACAGGUGGUGCAUGGUUGUCGUCAGCUCGUGUCGUGAGAUGUUGGGUUAAGUCCCGCAACGAGCGCAACCCUUAUUGUUAGUUGCCAGCACUAAGUUGGGCACUCUAGCAAGACUGCCGGUGACAAACCGGAGGAAGGUGGGGAUGACGUCAAAUCAUCAUGCCCCUUAUGACCUGGGCUACACACGUGCUACAAUGGACGGUACAACGAGUCGCAAGACCGCGAGGUUUAGCAAAUCUCUUAAAGCCGUUCUCAGUUCGGAUUGUAGGCUGCAACCCGCCUACACGAAGCCGGAAUCGCUAGUAAUGGCGCAUCAGCUACGGCGCCGUGAAUACGUUCCCGGGUCUUGUACACACCGCCCGUCAAG
rnacentral:rRNA from 1 species